GUUUCCAGACCGGAGGAAGAAAGGGAGGGGUUGGUGAGGCGCAUGUGGAGGGCAGCGUCGUUGUCGGUGACAACGUGGGCGUCGCCAAAGAGGUUUGUCAGGGUCGAUCCUCCAUCACCGUGCUCCACUCCUUCCAACUCCUCAAAUGCCUUCGCCGGUGAAAAACCUUCCUCCAUCGGAGACCUAAUUUCCCUCACAAACCUCUCCCUCGAUGAACGCUUCGUACUCCUCCGACGCGUCGUCAACGGAUUCCUCCACUCACAGUAGCGGCGUGUC
rnacentral:lncRNA from 1 species